GUCAGUCGACGGCUACUGCGGCGGAGAACGUCAACGCCUGGUCGGGAACGGCGUCGUUGCUGCCUUUGUUAGGUGCAUUUGUUGCCGAUUCAUUUCUUGGGAGAUUCCGUACUAUUGUUGUUGCCUCUCUUACCUACAUAUUGGGACUUGGCUUGUUGACUCUAUCAGCAAUGCUUCCUUCUUUCAGUGCUUCUGACUGCCCAAGCAUCAACAUUAUCACCUCGUGUUCAGCUAAUCCAAUUCAGGUAGUCUUAUUCUUCUUUUCUCUAUAUUUGGUAGCACUUGCGCAAGGUGGGCACAAACCUUGCGUUCAGGCUUUUGGAGCGGAUCAGUUUGAUGGACAAGACCCUAAGGAGUGCAAGGCCAAAAGCUCAUUUUUCAAUUGGUGGUACUUUUGCAUGUGUAGUGGCACCCUACUAACACUACUAGUCUUAAAUUACAUCCAAGACAACCUUAAUUGGGCUCUUGGAUUUGGAAUUCCAUGUAUUAUGAUGGUCAUUGCACUUAUUCUCUUCUUACUUGGAACUAAGACAUAUCGCUAUAGUGUCAAAGUAGAAGAGAAAAGUGCAUUUCUAAGGAUUGGUAAGGUAUUUGUUGCAGCAAUUAAGAAUUGGCGAACUUCUUCUUCUGCAAUAGCUUUAGAGGAAGAAGCACGUGGAAUGCUGCCUCACCAACGUUCUGAGCAAUUCAAGUUCCUCAACAAGGCCCUGCUUGCACCAAAUGGCUCCAAGGAAAGUGGGAAGGUGUGUAGCCUUACUGAAGUUGAAGAAGCGAAGGCGGUACUUAGGCUUGUUCCAAUAUGGGCUACAUGCUUGGUAUAUGCUGUUGUGUAUGCACAGUCCUCAACUUUCUUUACCAAGCAAGGAGUAACUAUGGAUAGAUCAAUUUCCCUGAGUUUUGAAGUACCACCAGCUGCACUUCAAUCUUUUAUCAGCCUUGCCAUUGUCUUAUUCAUUCCAAUCUAUGACCGUGUUUUUGUUCCCAUAGCAAGGGCCUUGACUGGGAAACCUUCUGGCAUCACAAUGCUUCAGAGGAUUGGAACUGGAAUGUUUUUAUCUGUUCUGUCUAUGGCAAUUGCUGCUUUGAUUGAGAUUAAGAGGCUU
rnacentral:misc_RNA from 1 species